GCCACUAAGGAUCACUAAACAACUAUCAUAUAAAAGGCAAAAGGAUCACUAAACAGCUAAUUUAACUCUUAAACUUUUUAAACAGGUUUUAGUAAUUUUUUGAGUAAUCCAGUUGGACGCACUAUAAGUAAAGUGCGAGAAUAGAAAGCGAAAUUGAGCAAGGAACAAUAAAUUAAGAGACCAAAUUGAACUCAAACGACAAAAUUAAG
rnacentral:lncRNA from 1 species